CCCGAUUAUGGUGGUCUUGAAUCACUGCAGAAACAAACCUGUAACCCUUCAGACAAGUACGAACUUGUCAUCACAGAGGGAAAAUGCAUUUGUAACGUCAUUGGGCGGUUACUGCUUAAGGUACCAUUGAAGAAUGUUUCGCGAGAACUCCUUGGCUCAUCGGGGCAAAUCCCGAACUCCACUAAAUGGGGGCCACUGAUCUAGGUCACAAGUGAGGAAAACGAGGACUAAGGAAAGAAUGUCAUGGAUUUUAAAGCUGGAAACCAGGGACUUUGGCGACUCGGAGGGUCAUGAAGUGCACCAGAGGCCAGCAAUAAAAAUCAGUGAUGGGAUCCAGAGUUUGAUGAAAGGCCUGGGAGCCAAGGGAAAAUAGAUGGGGAAGCCGUGCAGGAUGGAGUGAGUUAUUAGAAAGGGGGACACUUAUGCAGCUGACGCAUGAAGACACACACAUUAACACAGAGGGCAGCAUCCCCAGCAUAAAACGGCGGAGAUAUUCAAGAGUCAUUUCCUCCACUAGCUCUCUUCAUGAAAAACCUGGAGGAAGAUGCUAAUAAUUUCAGAUUUGCCUGACGGAGGAUUUCAAGCUGCAAAGUUGUUUGUGUGUAUCUAUCACGGGUCAUUUCCAAUAAAGAUGGGGUGGGAUGUGGGAGCUGAUGAGCU
rnacentral:lncRNA from 1 species